UGAUUUGGUUAGUGGACUAAGCUUAUCAAGUAUUGAUAAGGUCUUAGCUUGUAUGCGGUCACUUAUCUCCUUGAAGUUCCCUUCUAUAGCAUUUCAGUUAAUAUGCAUCAUCAACUUAUAUAUUACAAGUAACAGGACAAAUUCAUUUUAGCCUUCCUAACAUUUAAAACGAUGUACCUAAAUUACUAAUACUUAAUUUUCUGAGUAUAGAUUAGUGUAAAAUAAGUCUUCAAGUUAAAUUGUGGUUAUUUAAGUAAAAAGUUAUAUUGUUCGAAAGAACUCAAGUUGACAAAGUUUGACAAAAUAAAUGUAGAUUCACGUCAAAGAAAUCUCCUUGAAGCGCUCCUCUGUUGGCAUUUUGGUUAAAACUCCAUAAAUCAAUAACUAUGUUACAAAUGACAGGAUAAAUUCACCAUAAUCUUUGUAAAGUUUAAAACGUUGUACCUGAAUCACUAACUUUUGACCUCUUUUUGUACAUAUUAUUAGCUUGAAAAUAUGUUUUAAAGUUAAAGUUUGGUUGUUUAAGUAAAAGGCUUUAUAAUAUCGGGAGAAUUCAAGUUGACAAUGCAAUAUUUGGACUCGACUAAUUCAGGGCUGCAGGGCGCAAAUACUAAAUUUUGAUCACGCCAUUUCAAAAAUACUCGUCUUAUGUUUUUAAAACUUUUUUUGUACGGGUACCCACUUCGCACCUGAAGCUUGGUGACUUUAGACAUUUGAGCUUGAAAGUGUGGCCUUGUGAAGGCCAAACAUCAGACAUUUUCGCCUAAUGUUAUGUAUGGUUUGCGAAGGCAAAGUUCAGACAUUUUUUACUGAGAUGCGUAUAAAAUUGGUUCAAAUUUUAGUCAUGUCUUUUUGAAUUUUUUCAUGUAAGCCUGACUUUUAAUUGUACAUGACUGAAGUACAUGUAAAAAUAGGCAAAAAUUUCAGUUAUGUGUCUAAAUAUUUUUGUCAAAAAUAUUUUUUUCAUAUAUGUCUGCACCUCAGUCAUACAUGAAUGAAAUACAUGCAAAGACGGGCUGAAAUUUCAAAAAUGUGUGGUUGAACAAAAAAUAAGGGAAAAGGACACAAAUGGCCGUCCGGGUGAAACUACGACGCCUACUGGCCCAAGAAUCUUAAACGUCAUUUUUUAGCCUUUUCAAAAUAUUUUAAUUUUCUAGCCAUUUUUCAACUAAUUCCAGCAUUUGUAUCUAAAUUGUAUCAUUGUUGUAUAUGUGUCACUACUGUAUAUGUGUAGAAAAUGUGUCAUUGUUAUAUAGAAUAUGUAUCCCAGCAGUAUAUGUAUAGAAAAUGUAUCAUAUGAAAAUGUAUCAUACAUUUGCAUCGUUGUUGUAUAAUUUGUGUAUAAUAAAUGUAUAAUCAACGUAUACUCACUAAUUAUACAUAUAUUAUACGAUUAUUAUACACAUAUUACAAUGUUUUGGGAUAUUUACGUAAUGCUACUUUCUACAGAAAACUCAGAUUAACAUAGAACAUACUAAAAUAUGUAUUGAUUUGGAAGAGAAAAAUUGAGUGGGUGUAUAUAACAAUCUGGUUUUAUAGUAAACUUUGCGAUUGGAUAUGUAUUUAUGCCGAAAGUGCACCUCGCAACCAAUCGCCAUAUCGAUUCUAGCCGAAAUUGACCUCUACAAGUUUGACCCGCGGGAUCUUCUAGAUUUGACAUUAUAUGGAGAGAAGGAACGGUACUUCUUUUCACCUCGGGAUCUGAAAUAUCCGCCAGUUCAUGCCCAAAUCGAGCUGCCAGAACUGGUUACUAAAAGGCGACUAGUAUCGAUAAGCCGAUUGGAAAUCGGAAGGCGGGUGGAAUUAAGAAAGCAUUGGUGUUUUACGUUGGCAGAGCACCUAGAGGAGAGGAGAAAGUGAGAGGUGGAUGAAACAUAGAAGAAAGUGAGAAAGUAGAUUAUGGCUAGGGCUUGUCUUUAUUUUGGGCCUAGGAGCUAUUUCGGGGGAUUAUCUUAAAAUGGGGCCUUUUUGGGCAGGUGACCACAUCAUGUCUUUUUCCAAAAAAUAAUAAUUUGUUAUUUGAAUUUCACUAAUGCAACACACGAUUCAACACCUAAAUCUAUUAUAAAUUAGCUCAAAUUUGAAACAUAA